GUCCCUGUCGAUUAGUGGUUAAAUCAUCACGUUGUGGUAAAGGGAUUGGGAGCUCUAAUUAUGGCAACCGUGGAGCCGGGAGCUCGAAUCUCCCCAGGGACA